ensembl:lncRNA
AAUUCAAUAACCUAAUAUUUCCAAGUGAAAAUGUAUACAUGUAUUCAUCUGAAAGUUGCCUUUUUCUAGGUGGAAGGGUAGACAAGUGUGAUAUCCAUCAUAAAGGACAUGGCUGACCCUCCCGUUAACAAAAGAAAAAUGCAACAAAUUUAUUUCAACAAAGUUUUAUGUGACAUGGAAGUCUACAGAAGUGAAAACCAAAGCACUCAGCAAAAACUGUAUCUUUAUGCUUGGUUUGAUGAAGAAUAGACAACCAUGUAGAAAUGUGAUGAGACAAAAAAAGGAAUGGCUUGAAGGAAUAGACUGAAGGGGGCGGGGCUUGCCUAGAAGGCCUGGCCGUCAGCUUCUUCUUGGCCUCUCUGCAACAUGCCCUCUGGAACAGGGGUCUUACGAGCUGCUGUCAGACAAGGUAGGGCAGACUUACUUCAUGGACCACACUUACAUGAAAAGAGGAGAGAAAGGUUAGAGUGACAUUUCUAGGUUUUCACGUCUGGCUUUGAGGACAGUUUCUAUGGCCACCUCUAAGGGAAAAAGAAUUCUAAUUUCCCUGGCCUAUCUUGGAGAGAAAGGGGAACAGGCAAAGGCCAAAGACUUUGUUUCUGGAGCCCUCCUGAUCUCCUUCUGUUCAGAGUUCCCAGGUGCCCCGGGCAUCAUCCAUCAGGCCCUCUGCAUGGAGUUGCGGCAGAAAGCCAUCUGUGACCUUGAAGGAGAAGGGAGAAUACACACUUCUGAAGGAGCCUGCAGGAUUUUCACUGACGCCACGGAGGUCUGGCUGGCUGAGAGCAUGAUAUAAAGAACACUGCCCUGGAUCUACAGGAGGAGGAGCACACCCACCCAACGUGGCCAUCGGAAUCUUCAGAAAUGUCCCAAUCCUAUCGUCCCCAUCCUAUUUUAUGCUCAGAUAUCUUCAAAAACAUAUCCAGAGUCUGACCAUUUGGCAUUAUCCACACGACUGGCUUCGCCCAUUCUCUCCUGCCUGAACUGAUGCCCCCGCCUUCUCUUUUCUGCCCCCACCCUACCCAGCUAUUCUCAGCAAAGCAGCCAGAGUGAAGCUUUGAGAACAGUGGUCAUAUAUCAUCGCUGCCCUGCCCGAUGGUUCUGCUCACAGGGGAAGAGCCAGAGUGCUUUUGGGUUGCAGCUCCCAUGUCUCCCUGACCUCAUCUGCUGCUCUCCCUCCUUGCUGGCUUUGUGCUCUUGGUACCAGCUAGGCACACUGCCACCUCAGGAUCUUUGCACUUGCUGUCUUCUCUGCGUGGUGAGCUCUUCUUCUAGAUACUGGCAUCCAUCAAGUCUUUGCUUAAACGUCUCUUUCCCAGUGCGAUUGGCCCUGACCUCCUCAGACUUGUAGCCUGCCCCACCUUCCCUGGUACUUCCCCAGGAGAUUUUUCACUAGGAGGGUGGCUUCAAAAAAUUCAGGGAAGGCCGGCGCCGUGGCUCAAUAGGCUAAUCCUCCACCUGCGGUGCCGGCAUCCCAGGUUCUAGUCCCGGUCGGGGCACCGGAUUCUGUCCUGGUUGCUCCUCUUCCAGGCCAGCUCUCUGCUGUGGCCCGGGAGUGCAGUGGAGGAUGGCCCAAGUGCUUGGGUCCUGCACCUGCAUGGGAGACCAGGAGAAGCACCUGGCUCCUGGCUUUGGAUCAGCGUGGUGCGCCGGCUGCAGUGUGCCAGCCGCAGCGGCCACUGUGGGGUGAACCAACGGAAAAAAGGAAGACCUUUCUCUCUCUCUCUCACUGUCCACUCUGCCUGUCAAAAAAAAAAAUCAGGAAAAGAUGUGUAGCAUGAUGAAUCUAUGUAUGGAUUUCAAAAAAUUGUUAUACCAAAAUAAACAACUUUUCACUCCAAUUUCCA